rnacentral:rRNA from 1 species
UGAGUAACACGUAUCCAACCUGCCGUCUACUCUUGGACAGCCUUCUGAAAGGAAGAUUAAUACAAGAUGGCAUCAUGAGUUCACAUGUUCACAUGAUUAAAGGUAUUCCGGUAGACGAUGGGGAUGCGUUCCAUUAGAUAGUAGGCGGGGUAACGGCCCACCUAGUCUUCGAUGGAUAGAGGUUCUGAGAGGAAGGUCCCCCACAUUGGAACUGAGACACGGUCCAA